CUGAUGAAUGUUGGUGGCUGAUGCUGGUUCGAUGUUUGCGCAAAGAAGCAUACCACGCAUGCCCUCUGUUGUAAGGCCGGUACCCAAGUGGCCGACAGCCAUGGCAACAUUAAACUGUGCGGCUCACCGUCCCCUUCCUGAUCGACUGACUUCCUCGUACAGCUUUUCAGGGUGACUGGUGUAAUGGCACUUCUUACAUCGAAUGGAAAGGAUCCAUGCCAGGCCUCUCUUUUCCUCCCCAUGCUUGUUCCAGUCCAGUGAACUGUCACAGUCCAGGAAUUUCUGUGAGUGCUCUUUAAAUGCAUGGUUCCAUAGUUUAGCAGUUUUUUAUUGAUGGAGCACUUUGAAAAGUCUGGAAUUGGGGUUCGGUGACUCUGCAUCCAUGUAGGAGUCUACCAGCUGCACUUCACUUGGCCCGGGUCGCAAAAUCUUCAUUUGACUGCCUCUACGCUCAGCAUCGCUUAUUGUGAAUAUUCCAUCCUUCUGCUGCUGUACGACAUCCUGAAACUCUUCUUUACUCAGCCUUCUUAUAGGACAUAGACACUGUACUGUGCUGGUGGUCCCUGUCCUUUUCUGGCCCUUGUUGUGAGGAAUGUUUUCUUUUUUGUACUGAUGUUGAUGCAGCCACUUUGGUCCUUUCUUUGAGCCGCAAUGUCGUCUAAGAGGAACCCCAUCUUUAAUGACUGAUUGAAAAGCCUCAUCACCCCCCAUUGCUUAAGAACCUCUUAUCUAUAUCACUAGCCAUUAAUCAGUGACCACCGUUAUCAAAGCUCCAAGAUGGGCAUGAUGCAACUUCCUGGAUGGUGCUGAGCCUGUUUGUCAACAUGUGGAACCCACGUGUAUUUAGGGCAAAUGGCAUGGCAGACGGCCAACGGCAAUCUGAAACCCUGCCCCCUUCCCCUUCAAGUCAAGAAGACUAGCCAGCAGCGACAGUAGGUCUAUAGGUCGAUCCAUGUCUCUAGACACUUUUAACUACUCAGUGGUACCACUACCAACAAUUGCAGGCCACUGUAUCAGUAGUGUGUGAAUUUAAACCUUUGAUCAUCUCAGGCCAAGGAAGACUGGUGAAAGUUGACGUUUGCGGUUUACAUGUGUAGUGUAGUACCAAAAACUAUGUAACUGUUAUGAUGCUAUAGAUGGACUGAUAGUGUAUUUAGAUAGCUGAGGGUAUUUAUGUGAUAUUCUCUGUUGACUGUAUAAUUAGCAUAUGAUACUAUGGCUACCUGUUUUGACCCUCUCAUCAGAGGACUAUCAUUUGAUAAGGGUAUUAUGUGAUGCAACUGCUGUGAUUUUCUUAGUGGAUUGUACCAAUAGCAUAGGAUACCAAAGUUAAACUGUUGUGAUCCUUUUAGUAAAAUGUAUAAUUAGC